rnacentral:rRNA from 1 species
UACAGAGGUCUCAAGCGUUGUUCGGAUUCAUUGGGCGUAAAGGGUGCGUAGGCGGCGCGGUAAGUCGGGUGUGAAAUCUCGGAGCUUAACUCGGAAAGGUCAACUGAUACUGUGCGACUAGAGUGCGGAAGGGGCAACUGGAAUUCUCGGUGUAGCGGUGAAAUGCGUAGAUAUCGAGAGGAACACCUGCGGCGAAGGCGGGUUGCUGGGCCGACACUGACGCUGAUGCGCGAAAGCCAGGGGAGCGAACGGG